rnacentral:rRNA from 2 species
GAUUUCUGGUUCGGCGCACUUGGCCCGUCUCGGUUUACGGGAUUGCGUGCCGGUGUGCGCCAUCCAUCCUUCGAGAGAACACUUCUACCCUCACGGGCUGGAGUGCUAUCUCGAUCUUUUACUUUGAAAAAAUUAGAGUGUUUCAAGCAGGCUUUAUGCUAUGAAUACAUUAGCAUGGAAUAAUAAUUUAGGACUUCGGUUCUAUUUUGUUGGUUUCUAGGACUGAAGUAAUGAUUGAUAGGGAUAGUUGGGGGUGCUAGUAUUCAGCGGCCAGAGGUGAAAUUCUCGGAUUCGCUGAAGACUAACUUAUGCGAAAGCAUU